GGCUCGCCUCCUGGAGCAGGUCCACAGAGCCCAGCCUGCGGGCGGCUGAGGGGGGAAAGCCGGGGCUGUUGCCCUACCCCGCUGUUAGCCUUACGUUCCUGCUUGGUGCUAUGUUUUAUUUGUUCUUUCUAUUAAACCUGUUAAAUUCCAGCUCAGGUCCCUCCCUCAUGAAGCCUUCCUGGAUUAUUUGAACCUUCAACAAUCUCCUUCUUUCAGCUCACUCAGCAGGUGACGUAGCCCCCUAUUUGGAGCCGUCUUCUCCCUUUGUCCAGCUGCCUCUAAGGAUGCGUCUGGACGGAUCUCCACAGCUGGACAAGGGACUUCAACUCACUGUCCGGGACUGAACAUCUCCCGUCUCCCACGGCACCGGGCACACGCUGGGCUCUUCCUGCUGACCUCAGGGGAGCUGGGUUCAGAUGGCAGGAAAACGAACCUGGCUUUGCCACGCUCCAGUUCACCUGCCUCCUUGCACACCUGAGUUCAGGAGCCUCGUCCCUCCACCAGAGGGCGUGGCAGCAUGGAUGCCAGCCGCACCUGGGCUCUGCCAGGUGUUCCGACCGCAGCCCUUUGGAAGGUUCUGUCCCGCGUCCCCUCGCUGAC
rnacentral:lncRNA from 1 species